AAAUUCGAGCCCUAUAGUUGCUAAUAUGAUAGUCAUUGAAAGCUUACAUGGUCAUUAAUUUCAAGGCCCAUAAGAUUAUUUGAGGUAUACCCAAGCUAGCUAACAUGUUAAUAAUAAUAAUAAUAAUAAUAAAAAGCAAUCUCCAUCUUUUAAUCAAACUCCAUAAUCAUCAGCUUCAAGCACACGUCAUUGCCCAUGCAAACUCCACUACCACUAGGUUAGGUUUAGUUUAGUUUAGUUUAGCUUAGCUUCUCUUAUAAAAUACAAGUUAGGCCAUGGCCUGCUUCUUGUGCUCGUUGAUCUGAUGGAGAAGAGCAAAUCAUUUUCCGGUUACUCAAAUGCCUACUCAGAAAUCCGGCUAGGCUUCGAGGAACGGUCUGGAUCUUACAGCUUUAAUGGCCCGGCAGGCAAGGUGGAUGAUGUUGAGCUAGAAAGUUCAGGCAAUCCGGAGCUCAAGCGGAGGAAGAGAGUGGCACAGUAUAACAUGUACACCAUGGAAGACUGUAACCAAGGAGGAGGAGAAACAUGCUUCUCCUUCCAUAUUCAAUUCAUGCGAAUCCACCCAUGAAACCCUUUCACGUCUUCGCUGGAACUGUGUUCAUGUUCUUCGCUUGAGUUGCUCUGUUUAACCCAAGUUCUAACCUCAGCAACUGUAAUAUUGACUAGUGAGGUAACCCUUUAUUAGUCCAACGUGUAUAUAUAUAUAUAUCAACAAAUCUCAUUUCAUAAACCCUGAAUUAAUUGUUUAGAAAAGUGGUUUUUAUAAAGGAUUCUUCAUAAAAUUACCGUUAAUUAAUUGGUUUGAGCUAGAUAUGUUGUCUUAAUCUAACUAAUAAUUUUGUGAAAAGAAAAAACAAAAUAAAGCAAACCAUUAACUUUUGAAAUUAACAAAAUGAAAUAAGAAUACUUCGGUUGCAUGAUAUGAAAAAAAAAUAUUAAUUAAAUGAUGAAGUCUUGAAUUUGUUUUUCAAAUCAAACAAAUUAAUAAGAACUACCCUUGAAAUUCCUCAAAGGAUAGGUUGGAUGAUUAAGAAGAUUUGCUGAUUUUAUAACCUUUUGAAUUCGAGUUAAUAGGAGCUAGUAUCUGGGAGAAAAAAACUCACCCAUAUUAAAAUAGAGUCUCUGCAUACUUAGACCUAAUUAGGUGCAUAUUUUAGAAAACAUUUAUGGUAUUCAGGAGUUAAGUUAAUUAGUGAUAUCUUAUUAAUUACUUUUUAGAUUCACCUUGAAAAUAAAAAGUAACAUGAAAAAAAAAAAACUCAUAAGCCAUAAAAAAUAAUAAAAUCACCAUAAUAAAAUUAUUUAACAAAAAAAAUUUAUAGAAGCCAAUUUAUUUAAUUUUCCUCGUGUUUUUCUUUUUCUCCUUUGUUUAGACGUGUGGGCCGGACAAUGUACAGGCCCAGCCUGUUGAUUAUUAUUAUCAUUAUUUAUAAAGAAAUGGGCCAGCCAGACGCACGGUUAGUUAACGGAUCUGUUUAGAGCAUCUCUAUGAUUUAUAGAAUAUUAAAAUUAAAAAAAAAAGACGAAAAAGUUGAAAUCCAAUUCAAUAUAUAUAUAUAUAUAUAUAUAUAUAUAUAUAUAUAUAUAUCCUCACACCUAAUCAUGAAAGCAAACACUCUAGGUAGACCUGGUUGGAUUGGAUAAUAGCAAUUGUUUUAAGGGAUAAUUAGAAAAAAUAUAUAUCUUUCAAGAUUUGAUCGUGUUUUUUCUUUUUGAAAAAUCAAAUUUAAUAUCGUAAAAAAUCAAAAGAUAAUUGCUCAGGAUAUCACGCCGGAAAGAUUGUGAAAUUAGCCGGAAAAAAACGAAGAAGAAAGGCUGCUCUCAUUUAUUGACGAGUGCAGAUAAAACAAGAACAGUUUACAAACAUGAACGCAUUGUACAAUAUUUCCUCGCAGCAACAGCUUCAAGGAGGGGAGAUGAAGAUGCAGUAAUAUCACAGAUAGUAACUGGUGAGAUUUUGCUUGGCCUAAUCUUUAUCAAGUCCAAAGAGUUUUGAUAUUUUUUCUGGAUCAAGAGCACGAACGUCCAGCGUAGAAACAGACCGGCGGUAACCACCUGGCAUUGCAUUGCCUCCAUUAAGGUUAAUGAUGUCUGUUAUAGAAGCCUGUAAAAGGGUGAAAUUCUGGAUGUUCUUGGUAGCAUUAGGAUGAGCCUCCGUUCUUAUCGAUCUGUUCUGAUUCUGAUCAAGAAUCGGCGAGAAGGAUGGCCGCGGGAGGCCUUGUUCUUGCCUCAGUAUUGAUUUUAGACCCCAGGAUGUGCUGCUGCUUGCACUGUUUCCUGUCUCAAGGCCAUAAUUCAUGCUUGGCUCUGAGAUUUUCGCCACCUAAAACAAAGCAGAAUACCAUAGAUUAUUUACAAGAUCAUCACAUCUUCUUCUUUAUUGAAUUACUAGUUUGAUUUCUCA